rnacentral:rRNA from 1 species
UACAGAGGGUGCAAGCGUUAAUCGGAAUUACUGGGCGUAAAGCGUGCGUAGACGGUCAUGUAAGUCGGGUGUGAAAGCCCCGGGCUCAACCUGGGAAUUGCAUUCGAGACUGCAUGGCUAGGGUGCGGAAGAGGGAAGCGGAAUUUCCGGUGUAGCGGUGAAAUGCGUAGAUAUCUGGAGGAACACCGGUGGCGAAGGCGGCAUCCUGGACCAUUACUGACGCUGAGUGAGCGAAAGCCAGGGGAGCAAACGGG